CGUACCGCCGAAGUCGUGUCAUUGCGAUAUAUACCCCAACGGGAGUCGUGGAUGGGUAGGGGAGGCGGUCGUGUGCCGGUGAAGCAGCACCGGAAGGUAGUUGUGGACGGUUCACGAGUGAGAAUGCAGGCAUGAGUAGCGAUUCACACGUGAGAAACGUGUGCGCCGAUUGACUAAGGGUUCCUGGGUCAAGCUGAUCUGCCCAGGGUAAGUCGGGACCUAAGGCGAGGCCGACAGGCGUAGUCGAUGGAUAACCGGUUGAUAUUCCGGUACCCGCUGUGAAGCGUCAAACAUCGAAUCCAGUGAUGCUAAGCCCGUGAAGCCGUUCCGGACCCUUCGG
rnacentral:ncRNA from 1 species